AUGGAGGAAAAAUUAGAGAGAGAAGUAAAGUUGUUCGAUGCCAGUGGGCAGACUGUGAUGACUCAGACUUCAGAAUCCCAGGCAGUGUCUCCAGGAGACAGAGUCACCAUCAACUGCAAAACCAGUACCAGUGUUAGCAGCUACAUGGCCUGGUACCAACUGAAAUCAGGACACGCUCCUAAGCUCUUCUUAUAUAGUGCUUCCACCCGUGUCUCUGGUGUUCCAGACCGGUUCAGUGGCAGUGGGUCUGACACUGACUUCACCUUCACAAUCAGCCACGUAGAAGCUGAUGCUGCUGGAGAUUAUUAUUGUCAAGGCUAUAACUCUCACA